AACAAACGCUGGCGGCGUGCCUAAUACAUGCAAGUCGAACGGGGAAAGCUUUCGGGUGAGUACUAGUGGCGCACGGGUGAGUAACGCGUGGAUAAUCUGCCUUAGAGUGGGGGAUAACUAGUCGAAAGAUUAGCUAAUACCGCAUAAGACCACAAGAACUGCGGUUCAAGGGGUCAAAGGUUUUUCGCUCUAAGAUGAGUCCGCGUAAGAUUAGCUAGUUGGUAGGGUAACGGCCUACCAAGGCGACGAUCUUUAACUGGUCUGGGAGGAUGAUCAGUCACACGGGAACUGAGAAACGGUCCAGACUCCUCCGGGAGGCAGCAGUAGGGAAUAUUGCACAAUGGAGGAAACUCUGAUGCAGCGACGCCGCGUGAGUGAUGAAGGCCUUCGGGUCGUAAAGCUCUGUCGCAGGGGAAUAACACAAUGAAGGUACCCUGUAAGAAAGGAUCGGCUAACUUUGUGCCAGCCGCCGCCGUAACAC
rnacentral:rRNA from 1 species